rnacentral:lncRNA from 1 species
AGCAAUCAAACAAGUCAAUUAGCACACACUAUACACAAUCAAUUAGGCUCAAUCAAGGUUAGGCUUUACAACCAACUGGAAUGGGGUAAUUGUGCUCUUAACCCUAACAUUGAGAGUUAGGGUGAAGCAGAUGAAAUGGAGAUGAGGGGUGUGCCUCAUAGCUCUUAUCCCUGGCCAGGGAGAGCUUUAAACAAUAGAAAGUGUGGG